UACUCUGGAGAGUGACAAUCAUGUAUAAUUAAAUUUGAUUGACACUUCUGUGAGUAGA
rnacentral:pre_miRNA from 2 species